ACAAGGCCACACUGGUGUGUCUCAUGAGUGACUUCUACCCGAGAGCCAUGACAGUGGCCUGGAAGAUAGAUGGCAUCACCAUCACCCAGGGUGUGGAGACCACCACACCCUCCAAACAGAGCAACAAGUAUGCGGCCAGCAGCUACCUAAGACUGGCACCCGACAGUGGAAGUCCCACAACCUCUACAGCUGCCAGGUCACGCAUGAAAGGAACACUGUGGAGAAGACAGUGGCCCCUGCAGAAUGUU
rnacentral:lncRNA from 1 species